rfam:Neptuniibacter sp. Phe_28 scaffold_1061, whole genome shotgun sequence.
UGUUGGUCCUUCCGCAAUGAUAAAUCGUGAACCUGGUCAGGCCCGGAAGGGAGCAGCCACAGCGAUGGAUUCAUGUGCCGGAAUGUGGCUGGCGGGG